rnacentral:ncRNA from 2 species
CGAUGAGGUAGAGGUCGCGGCUUUUAUUAGUAGGACGUACGAGAUGCAGAAAGACAUCAUAGACUCCGUGUGAAAGGAAAAGCUGCCGAAAUUCAUGUUUAUCUCUGGAAAUAUGAAUUGGGGCUGUUUUCGAAAAGGAACAGCACUGUCACGCUCACAUUACCGGUGAGUGGGAUGCGCUAUCUUACGG